GAUGAACGCUGGCGGCGUGCCUAAUACAUGCAAGUCGAGCGAACAGAUGAGGAGCUUGCUCCUCUGACGUUAGCGGCGGACGGGUGAGUAACACGUGGAUAACCUACCUAUAAGACUGGGAUAACUUCGGGAAACCGGAGCUAAUACCGGAUAAUAUAUUGAACCGCAUGGUUCAAUAGUGAAAGACGGUUUUGCUGUCACUUAUAGAUGGAUCCGCGCCGCAUUAGCUAGUUGGUAAGGUAACGGCUUACCAAGGCAACGAUGCGUAGCCGACCUGAGAGGGUGAUCGGCCACACUGGAACUGAAACACGGUCCAGACUCCUACGGGAGGCAGCAGUAGGGAAUCUUCCGCAAUGGGCGAAAGCCUGACGGAGCAACGCAGCGUGAGUGAUGAAGGUCUUCGGAUCGUAAAACUCUGUUAUUAGGGAAGAACAAAUGUGUAAGUAACUAUGCACGUCUUGACGGUACCUAAUCAGAAAGCCACGGCUAACUACGUG
rnacentral:rRNA from 1 species